rnacentral:rRNA from 1 species
UACGUAGGGUGCAAGCGUUGUCCGGAAUUAUUGGGCGUAAAGAGCUCGUAGGCGGUUUGUCGCGUCUGCUGUGAAAACUCGGGGCUUAACUCCGGGCCUGCAGUGGGUACGGGCAGACUAGAGUGCGGUAGGGGAGACUGGAAUUCCUGGUGUAGCGGUGAAAUGCGCAGAUAUCAGGAGGAACACCGGUGGCGAAGGCGGGUCGCUGGGCCGUAACUGACGCUGAGGAGCGAAAGCGUGGGGAGCGAACAGG